rnacentral:tmRNA from 1 species
GGAACAUGCAAAUGUUCGGUUCGACCCAAAGAACGGCUAAGCUUGUAGUCAUUUGUGUACGAACUUUUCGGACGCGAGUUCAAUUCUCGCCAGCUCCACUA